UACAGAGGUCCCAAGCGUUGUUCGGAUUCACUGGGCGUAAAGGGUGCGUAGGCGGUUUGACAAGUCUGAUGUGAAAUCCCGCAGCUUAACUGCGGUACUGCAUUGGAAACUGUUUGACUAGAGGAAUGGAGGGGAGACUGGAAUACUUGGUGUAGCAGUGAAAUGCGUAGAUAUCAAGUGGAACACCAGUGGCGAAGGCGAGUCUCUGGACAUUUCCUGACGCUGAGGCACGAAAGCCAGGGGAGCAAACGGG
rnacentral:rRNA from 1 species